GUGGGGAAUCUUGCGCAAUGGGCGAAAGCCUGACGCAGCCAUGCCGCGUGGAUGAUGAAGGUCUUAGGAUUGUAAAAUCCUUUCACCGGUGAAGAUAAUGACUGUAGCCGGAGAAGAAGCCCCGGCUAACUUCGUGCCAGCAGCCGCGGUAAUACGAAGGGGGCUAGCGUUGCUCGGAUUUACUGGGCGUAAAGGGCGCGUAGGCGGACAGCUUAGUCAGAGGUGAAAGCCCAGGGCUCAACCUUGGAAUUGCCUUUGAUACUGGCUGUCUUGAGUUUGGGAGAGGUGAGUGGAACUCCGAGUGUAGAGGUGAAAUUCGUAGAUAUUCGUAAGAACACCAGUGGCGAAGGCGACUCACUGGCCCAAUACUGACGCUGAGGCGCGAAAGCGUGGGGAGCAAACAGGAUUAGAAACCCGGGUAGUCC
rnacentral:rRNA from 1 species